UGCAAAUGAUGCUUAUCUCACGAUGGUCUUCCAAGCCACUGGCUUUGACGACAACGCCUUACGGCAACACUGAUGCAGCUCG